rnacentral:rRNA from 1 species
UGUACAACUCUGAGCGGCGUAUCACACGGCUCGCACGUCGAUGAAGAGUUUACUCGCACGUCGAUGAAGAGUUUGCUCGCACGUCGAUGAAGAGUUU